rnacentral:rRNA from 1 species
CCUACGGGUGGCUGCAGUUGGGAAUCUUGCACAAUGGGGGAAACCCUGAUGCAGCGACGCCGCGUGGAGGACGAAGGGUCUAGGCCUGUAAACUCCUUUUCCCCGGAAAGACUUAGGACGGUACCGGGGGAAUAAGCACCGGCUAACUACGUGCCAGCAGCCGCGGUAAGACGUAGGGUGCAAGCGUUGUCCGGAUUUACUGGGCGUAAAGAGCGCGUAGGCGGCCCGUUAAGUGUGAAGUGAAAUCCCCAGGGCUCAACCCGGGAACUGCUUCG